rnacentral:misc_RNA from 1 species
GAUGAAGAACGUAGCGAAAUGCGAUACGUAAUGUGAAUUGCAGAAUUCAGUGAAUCAUCGAAUCUUUGAACGCAUAUUGCGCUCUCUGGUAUUCCGGAGAGCAUGCUUGUUUGAGUAUCAGUAAACACCUCAACUUCCAUAUCUUUUUUGAAAUGGGAGUUGGACUUGAGUGAUCCCAACGCUUUUCCUCACCGAAAAGUGGCGGGUUACUUGAAAUGCAGGUGCAGCUGGACUUUUCUCUGAGCUAUAAGCAUAUCUAUUUAGUCUGCCUAAAAAACAGAUUAUUACCUUUGCUGCAGCUAACAUAAAGGAGAUUAGUUCUUGUGAUGACUGAUGCAGGAUUCACAAAGACAGGCUUCGGCCGACUUUGUAAACUCGAUCUCAAAUCAAGUAAGACUACCCGCUGAACUUAAGCAUAUCAAAGCGGAGGA